rnacentral:rRNA from 1 species
AGAGUUUGAUCCUGGCUCAGAACGAACGCUGGCGGCGUGCCUAACACAUGCAAGUCCAACGUGAAAGGGGAGCAAUCCCCCGGUAGGGUGGGCAAACGGUGAGUAAUACAUGGGUGAUCUACCUUAGGGAUGGGGAGUAUCCUUCCGAAAGGAGGGGCAAUACCGAAUAUUGUCCGGGACCGUGAGGGUUCCGGGGAAGGGAGGCUCUGAUACAAGCUUUCGCCUUAAGUAUGAGCCCAUGGCCCAUCAGCUAGUUGGUA